ACUGUAUUAAAAUAAUCCAUUCUAGAUGAAACAAAGGCAUGCAUUCGUCUCUCGGCAUCAGAUACAGAAAUAAUUGUACACUGUACAUUCAUGGGAGCACCUAAAAAAUAAGGGUCAAUUUCAAAUGGGUUCCCCAAUACAGAAGUUAACAGUUGACCAAAUCCCCUGUCAUGGUACCUUUUAACUUCCUGCCACACCCUGAGUGUAUUACCCAGAACAACACUUCCCCCAAUCAGUCCUCUCCAUUGUUUUUCUUUUACUGUCAGUAAGCACACUGCAUCAGAUUCUAUGGCCUGCCAAGCACAGUCCACAUUACAGGUAAGCCAUCCCUGGAUAUGUUUCAAAUGCAUGCCCCAGUUAUACAGUCUAAAAUUAGAAAUUGCUAACCCACUCAUUUUUAUAGGCAGUUGUAGUCUUCUAAACUGAUACCUGUUUUUUUUUUUUUCCCCCUGCCCAUAGAAAUGCUCUUAUUACUGGGCAACACAUUCAUUUUAAUUAUCCCUGCCCUUCCCAAAAAGGAAACGGGCAAACUGGUCCACCUUUCUUUGUCUUUUUUUACCUUUUGAUUAUAGGGGAAAUUAAACAACUGCCCCAAGCAUGGGGAUACCCGUAUUCCCAAACAUGUUAGUCCUCUUGGGGACCACCGAAAAGGCGCAGAAGGUAAAGGGUUUAUCAGCAUAACCACUGAUUUUAAAAAGAUUAAAUCACCUCUGUUAGUCUCCAUUAGCAACCAAUAUAUGCGAUUUAGUCAAAAAUAAUAUGAUGUCAUCAGCAUAUAGUGACAAGUGAUGCUGUCUUGUACCAGUCUGAACACUGUGAAUAUUGGGCUCACGUUUAAUAGCCUCUGCCUGUGGCUCAGUUACCCUUCUGGUCUGGGUUAAUCGCACUACGAGGAAUCCACCUUUGUGAGGACCUUCGCAUCUGUGUCUGUUAAAGAUAUAGGUCUUUAUGAUGUAGUGUCUCCUGGGUUCUUUUCCUUUUUCAGUAAUACUAUUAUGUUGGCUGAUCUCCGUGAAGGGGGAAGAGUGCGUUUUUGGAAUGCAUCAUUGAACAUAUAAUGCUGAGCGUGCUUCCUGUGUAAACAGGGCAUCUAAUGAUGCUGGUGUAGCAGUUAGUUUCCUGGCAAUGCUUUUACUGGGAGAUGCUAUCAUUUUUCUUUCCAUGUGCCCAAUUAUUAUCUGUAUCCUUGGCUCACCGCUCGC